UAUGUAUUAAUUAGGAUUUUGAAAAUCUAAAAAGGUUUAAGCACCAUACAUAU
rnacentral:tRNA from 1 species